GACGAACGCUGGCGGCGUGCCUAAUACAUGCAAGUUGAGCGCUGAAGGUUGGUACUUGUACCAACUGGAUGAGCAGCGAACGGGUGAGUAACGCGUGGGGAAUCUGCCUUUGAGCGGGGGACAACAUUUGGAAACGAAUGCUAAUACCGCAUAAAAACUUUAAACACAAGUUUUAAGUUUGAAAGAUGCAAUUGCAUCACUCAAAGAUGAUCCCGCGUUGUAUUAGCUAGUUGGUGAGGUAAAGGCUCACCAAGGCGAUGAUACAUAGCCGACCUGAGAGGGUGAUCGGCCACAUUGGGACUGAGACACGGCCCAAACUCCUACGGGAGGCAGCAGUAGGGAAUCUUCGGCAAUGGACGAAAGUCUCACCGAGCAACGCCGCGUGAGUGAAGAAGGUUUUCGGAUCGUAAAACUCUGUUGGUAGAGAAGAACGUUGGUGAGAGUGGAAAGCUCAUCAAGUGACGGUAACUACCCAGAAAGGUACGGCUAACUACGUGC
rnacentral:rRNA from 1 species